CUCAGGCUCUGCAUCUGUAAAGGGGGGUGCGCUACGGCUGAGAGCUGUCGUGAAUCUGGGGGAAGAGAGGGCCUUGGGGGUGUCUUGAAUGGCAGAGCACCGUGGAGGUGACCCUCAGUGAUUCUGAAGGCCUUGCUCUUCAGGAAGUGGUCUGACUUCCCCCAGGCUGCCAUGCUGUGAGGAAGCCCAACUAGCCGCACGGGGAGGCCACCCAGAGAGGUCCCGAGACCACAGGAAGAGAGAAAGAUGUUUGCCUAGUCCCUAGCUGCCUCAGCCCCGGACUGUCCCAGCACCGUCCACUGUCCUGAUUGCAAAGGUAUGACAGAUCGGAAGCCAGCACCACCCAGGCAGGCCCUCCCCGAAUUCCUCACUCAAACCAGCGGCUGCUGUUUGAGGUCACUAAGUUUGGGGUGCAUUCACUGUACAGCAAUAGGUGACCGGGACAGCGUUGGUUGAGGGGUUUGGUGGAUUAAAUGGCGCUUCUCUUCCCCACCCCCUGAGGAAAGAUACGCUCACCUGGAACCCCAGAAUGUGACCUGAUUUGCUGCCGGGGCUUCUGAAGAUGUCAUUAGGAGAAGGGUUUUGAGAGGAGAUCACCUUGGAUUAAGGUGGGCCCUCCAUCCGAUGACCAGUGUCCUUAUCGGAGACAGAAAAGAAGACACACAGGCGCAGAGAAAAGUGCCAAGCCAAGGGGAAGGCCGAGAUGGAGCGAUAGGAGGCCACAGCCCAGGAAUGCCUGGAGCUACCGGAAGCUAUAAAAUGCAAGGAAGGAUUCUCCCCUUGAACUCUCGGAGGGAGCGUGACCCUGCCGACACCUUGACUUUGGACUUGCAGCCCCCAGACCUGUGAGAGAAUCCGUUUCUGUCACUUUGUGGUGUGGCAGCUCUAGCAGAUGCCCAGGGCAUGCUUCCACCUCUUCUGUGAUGUGACCCUCCCAACCACCUGGCAGCGGCUCUCUGUCGCCCCCUGUGGUGGCCAGCCUCCAAGGCGGCCUCUCUGAUCCCACCUCCCGGAGUUCCCUUCGUGAACAUGGCUGCCCUGUCAGCAGCAAGAUAGCGUGGAAAUAGCAGCACGUGUGCCAUCCACGGCUUAGUCACCACGUUUCAGUUCUGCCUUCUCCUCUCUCGGAACACAUUCCCAGGAGAAAACCCACAACCACGUCCCGAGGCCACUCCAACAGCCUGUGGAGAGUCCACAUGGUGAGGAACCGAGGCCUCCAGCCACCAACCAGCUCCAUCUGAGGGCACCAUCUAGGACGCAGACCCUCCAGCCCUAGCCCGGCCUUCAAUGACCGCAACCCUGGCCGACACCGUGGCUGCAGCCUCAUGACAGACUCCAAGCCAGUACCCCAAGUGCAUCCACUCCCUGACCCCUGACCCAUAGAAACUAUGUGUCAUCAUGUUGGUGGUUCUGUACCACUCAAUGGCAUGGUAACUUGUUACGCAGCAUUAGCUAGCCAAUACACUUUUUUCCCCCCUAUCC